AUACGGAGGGUGCAAGCGUUACUCGGAAUCACGGGGCGUAAAGCGCGCGCAGGCGGCUAUUUAAGUUGGAUGUGAAAGCCUACGGCUCAACCGUAGAACUGCAUCCAAAACUAUUUAGCUAGAGUGUGGGAGAGGAAGAUGGAAUUAGUUGUGUAGGGGUAAAAUCCGUAGAGAUAACUAGGAAUACCAAAAGCGAAGGCAAUCUUCUGGAACACUACUGACGCUGAGGCGCGAAAGCGUGGGGAGCAAACAGGAUUAGAAACCCCUGUAGUCC
rnacentral:rRNA from 1 species